GGCGAGUGGCGAACGGGUGAGUAAUACAUCGGAACGUGCCCUGUUGUGGGGGAUAACUAGUCGAAAGAUUAGCUAAUACCGCAUACGACCUGAGGGUGAAAGCGGGGGACCGCAAGGCCUCGCGCAGCAGGAGCGGCCGAUGUCUGAUUAGCUAGUUGGUGGGGUAACGGCCUACCAAGGCGACGAUCAGUAGCUGGUCUGAGAGGACGAUCAGCCACACUGGGACUGAGACACGGCCCAGACUCCUACGGGAGGCAGCAGUGGGGAAUUUUGGACAAUGGGGGCAACCCUGAUCCAGCAAUGCCGCGUGUGUGAAGAAGGCCUUCGGGUUGUAAAGCACUUUUGUCCGGAAAGAAAUCGCGCUGGCUAAUAUCCGGCGUGGAUGACGGUACCGGAAGAAUAAGCACCGGCUAACUACGUGCCAGCAGCCGCGGUAAUACGUAGGGUGCGAGCGUUAAUCGGAAUUACUGGGCGUAAAGCGUGCGCAGGCGGUUUUGUAAGACAGGCGUGAAAUCCCCGAGCUCAACUUGGGAAUUGCGCUUGUGACUGCAAGGCUAGAGUGUGUCAGAGGGGGGUAGAAUUCCACGUGUAGCAGUGAAAUGCGUAGAGAUGUGGAGGAAUACCGAUGGCGAAGGCAGCCCCCCUGGGGACGCCACUGACGCUCAUGCACG
rnacentral:rRNA from 1 species